rnacentral:rRNA from 1 species
CCAGCAGCCGCGGUAAUUCCAGCUCCAAUAGCGUAUAUUAAAGUUGUUGUGGUUAAAAAGCUCGUAGUUGAACCUUGGGCCUGGCUGGCCGGUCCGCCUCACCGCGUGUACUGGUCCGGCCGGGCCUUUCCCUCUGUGGAACCCUAUGCCCUUCACUGGGUGUAGCGGGGAAACAGGACUUUUACUUUGAAAAAAUUAGAGUGCUCCAGGCAGGCCUUUGCUCGAAUACAUUAGCAUGGAAUAAUAAAAUAGGACGUGUGGUUCUAUUUUGUUGGUUUCUAGGACCGCCGUAAUGAUUAAUAGGGACAGUCGGGGGCAUCAGUAUUCAAUUGUCAGAGGUGAAA